AGCAGCCGCGGUAAUUCCAGCUCCAAUAGCGUAUAUUAAAGUUGUUGCAGUUAAAAAGCUCGUAGUUGAAUUUCGGGGUCAGCAGGUCGGUCGUGCCAAUGGUAUGCACUGGCCUUGCUGAUUCCUCCCUCUUGAUGAGCCGUAAUGCCAUUAAUUUGGUGUUGCGGGGAAUCAGGACUGUUACUUUGAAAAAAUUAGAGUGUUUAAAGCAGGCAAGCGCUUGAAUACAUUAGCAUGGAAUAAUGAAAUAGGACGUUUGAUCCUAUUUUGUUGGUUUCUAGGAUUGACGUAAUGAUUAAUAGGGAUAGUUGGGGGCAUUAGUAUUCAAUUGUCAGAGGUGAAAUUCUUGGAUUUAUUGAAGACUAACUACUGCGAAAGCAUUUGCCAAGGAUGUUUUCAUUAAUCAAGAACGAAAGUUAGGGGAUCGAAGACGAUCAGAUACCGUCGUAGUCUUAACCAUAAACUAUGCCGACUAGGGAUCGGAUGAUGUUAAUUUUUUAAUGACUCAUUC
rnacentral:sRNA from 1 species